rnacentral:rRNA from 1 species
AGUGAACGCUGGCGGUAGGCCUAACACAUGCAAGUCGAACGGCAGCACAGUAAGAGCUUGCUCUUACGGGUGGCGAGUGGCGGACGGGUGAGGAAUACAUCGGAAUCUACUUUUUCGUGGGGGAUAACGUAGGGAAACUUACGCUAAUACCGCAUACGACCUACGGGUGAAAGCAGGGGAUCUUCGGACCUUGCGCGAUUGAAUGAGCCGAUGUCGGAUUAGCUAGUUGGCGGGGUAAAGGCCCACCAAGGCGACGAUCCGUAGCUGGUCUGAGAGGAUGAUCAGCCACACUGGAACUGAGACACGGUCCAGACUCCUACGGGAGGCAGCAGUGGGGAAUAUUGGACAAUGGGCGCAAGCCUGAUCCAGCCAUACCGCGUGGGUGAAGAAGGCUUUCGGGUUGUAAAGCCCUUUUGUUGGGAAAGAAAAGCAGCAGGUUAAUACCCCGCUGUUCUGACGGUACCCAAAGAAUAAGCACCGGCUAAAUUCGUG